AGAUAAACAACACUUACAACAAAAUACUGAACAAAUCAAACUUGCAUACAUCACCGUUGAUAACUAAUCAACUGAAAAACAUUCUUGUCAGGCCACAA